UACGCACGUGGGACAUACACGUCAGUGUGCAGACGCUCCCGCAUGUCCGUGCCUCACCCGCGCACACGCACGCCGGGCCCUCCCACGUGUGGCGGAGCGGCAGGGGCCGGGCCCGGGCAGUCUCUACCCCCGCGCCGCUCGGGGGCAAGGGGCGGAGCGGGGACAAGGCGCACGAUGGCGGCGGCCGGGCUCGAGGCGGCGCUGCCCGCUCUGGCCCAGCAGCUGGGACUCGCCGCCCGGGCGGAGCGGCUCUCGGAGGCCUCCUCGGCCCCCGGCUGCCUGGAGACCGUGCGGCGGCUGACGGGCCUGUUCCGGGAGGCGCGGCCCAGAGAAAUGGCAGAAGAAAGUAUGUUCCAGAGUCUCCUGAAAAUCUUGACUAAAGCCUUAUGUGAAAUGGAAUUGGCCUGCAAGGAUUCCAUGGAACUGAUAACUCUAGACACAUGUCUGCUGCUUAUAGCAGAAUGUUUCAGAUGUCUACGGAAUGCCUGUGUUCGGUGUGCCAAGAAUCAAGAUGUUCUAAGGAAUCUGGGUCUGAUUGAAGUGUCUGUCCAAUUGAUCCAGUUGCUUCAUGAAUUAGAAGUUGAACAGGAAUCAUUAUUGGCUGCUUUACGUUGUAGCCUCCAGUUUCUUGGAAACCUUGCAGCAGGGAAUGGAGAUUCCCAGAAUAGCAUUUGGAAGUGCGCUUUCCCAGAUCUUUUCUUGAAUUGCCUCAAUCACCAUGAUGAGAAAAUUAUUACCUAUUGCUGUAUGGUACUGUUCACCUGCCUGAAUUCAGAGAAAGUGAGAGAACUACUGAAGCAUAAGAACUUGAAUGUAGCUCUUGCUGUUGUAAAAGUCUAUAAAAAGCAACUGGAGUCUGAAUGGUCGUUCUUGAUUGUUACAGACCAUUUGCUGAAAUGUCCAGAGCUGGUAAAAGUCAUGUAUGCCAAACUGAGCAAUCAAGAAAGGAUUACUUUGUUAGAACUGAUAAUGGCCAAAAUAAGUGAGAAAAAUUCAGUGACCAGUGAGGAAAUGGCAGUGCUCUUGAAAGAUGCUGAAUUUCUUGCAAGCCUUUUCCAGGAGAAAUGUCAUGAUGUGCUCAAAUUAACUUCUGCUGCAAAUACGGAAGAUGAGGAAGCAAUAGUUACAAUUCGGCUUCUUGAUGUUCUUUGUGAAAUGACAUCGAACAAUGAACAACUGGAACAUCUGCAAACUUGUCCUGGUUUGCUUGAGACAGCUGUGGAUACUUUGCGGCUAACUCACCUGGCUGGGAAACAGACUGCAAAUAUCUUCACUGCCACACAUUCUAUGACAGGAGAGGGAGAAAUUUCACAUCCAGCUGUGGGUUUUAAAUCACACCUCAUUCGAUUGAUUGGAAAUUUGUGUUACAAGAAUAAGGAAAACCAAGACAAGGUUUAUCGAUUAGAUGGAAUUUCACUGAUCCUGGACAACUGCAGUAUUGAUGACAACAACCCUUGCAGUCUCACCAGAACCAUUCGCCUAAGUUCCUUUCAACUCUUUGCUGUAUAUGGAAAGGACACAUAACCAUCUCCAACUGAAUUAAACAUUUGACAGAAUCUAAUCACUCUUAUAAAUGUACAAUGCCUAGGAGAAGCCAGAGUUAAAAAUCAUUUUAAAAAGUCUUUAGAAUAUGAAAACCCUAAGGAUUUCAGGCUUCAUCUUACUAAAUUGUUAUCUCUGCAUGUUUUUCAUUUUGUCCACAAGAGUAGAAAGUUUGAGUUUCAUUUAAACACCUAUGAUUUCUUUCCGUGAUUAAAAAAAAAAAAAAAAUCAGGUCUGUAAUGUCGUGUAAAUAUAUAGUCCAUUUUUUAAUUUAAAAAGCAUUUUGUGUAAAAUCACUUCAUGAGAAAAACAAACAAUGAAAUCAUAUAAAUGCAUGAUAAGAUACAAUUAUAGAGCCACUCCUAGCUAUAGCUCUAACUGCACUCCUUCAGCAGUCGGGUGAGGAUUUAGGGCUAGAUUGUGUAAAUUAAAGAAUGCCCUCAACACUCAUUGACUUCACUGAGAGCCGAGUUCUUGUCACCUUGCAAGAGUUGUUCAGCUGUUCACAAUAUUAUUCCUUCAGGGGUUUACAGAAACACCUGAGAACUUUAUAUAGAGGGCAUUUCCCAAAAUUCACUUUUACAGUCCCAAUGCCUAUUUUUGUGAUUUAACUUUAAUACUUGGCUGCAUUUCUCAGAUUUGCCUUGACAAAGGCCAUUCUAAGCAGAAUUUUGCUGUGCCAUAACUUCCCAUGAAUACCUUUGUAAUAACUUUUAUUUAGGGUGGGAAGCAUGUUUUUGAGGACUUUUCAAUACAUUUUUAAUUAGCAAUAGAGUGCCCUGUGGCUUGCUCUCCAUUUGUUUUGUGCUCUGUUUCUGGCAUUUAGGAGUACCAGAAGCAUACUGCACAUGUUCAGAGAGACAGUGGUUGUCUGUGGAAAAAGUCAACAGAUUUUUUCCCUAUACUUAUAGUAGGAUUAAUUGGUCUGUCAAAGUUAUUGCAGUUUGAUAACAAUUGGUAAGUUCUGCCAUUUAAAGUUAACGCGCCUCUAUAAUUGUCUUGAAUUUUAUUUCUGCAUUACAGAAUUCUGUUGAAUAAGCCACUACUUCCAAAACUGUUUCCAAACUAAGAAGUGAAAUACAGGUCUGAAUAUAUAGUGUUUUUCAAAAUGUGUUCAGAUUUUGUAUGGAUGUAUUGGAAUGAAGAUUUUUACCAUUCUGCUGUUUUACAUCUGGCUGAAUACAACAGAAAGUCUCUUUAACUUGAAUGACCUGUACAAUUGAUCGGAUGUACACACAGGGCAUGUGGAAGGAGCAAGUGCAAAUUUCUUUUGGUGAAUGUCUGGCAGAAGAUGAAUCUAGAUGUCAGGCAUUAUACAUAUUAUUCUGCUACUCGUGGAUCUUAUUCCAGGAUUGAUAUGAUUUUUAUCCUGUCCAGCCCAAAAGACCUCAAGGAGAUGAGUAAAUUAUGUGCAUCCUUCUAUUAUGUGUGAAGGUAUGUGUUGCAAAUAACUGGUGCCCUACAGGCACAUCCUUCUACAUGUGAAGCUUAAAUGAAAUUAUUCAGAAUUGUUUGUCUCCCAUGUGGAUGUCUUGGAAAAGAUACCAUAACAUAGCAUUUCAACUACAGAAUUGGGACUAACAUCUGACAUUUCAUAAAAAUGAAUAUUUUAGUUCUCUUGGAAGAUGCCAGAUUGAUAUUGCUGGAAAUUUAAUUCCUCUGACGUGCCUCAAUCCUAGCCGGAAGGGACUCGCUUUAGAGUCAAAUGAGUUGUUGCUUGUGUCCAUUCAAACAUUAGCAUCUCUGCAGGAACUACCUACCAGUGGUCCUCUGAGUGUCAGUGGGUUUUAUGCUAGAGACCCAAGCACUAGGAACGGAACUUGUAUAAUUUAAUCUAAAACAUUGUGUUUCUUAAAAAUAAGUCUCCUAUGUUACAAACACCACCAUUUAUCAUUUGCAUGAACAAUUUUAAUACAGAUGUAAUUGACUAUUUAUGUUUGUUUCCUUUUUUGAAUUUGUAAAUGAAAAUAGCCAAUCAGCUUCAUUGUGUCUUGUUUAGAGCUAAUUUCAUUUUGAGGUUCUUGAGUGCACAAUGCUGCAAAAACUGCAGUGGGAUUUUUUUU